rnacentral:rRNA from 1 species
AUUGAACGCUGGCGGCAUGCUUUACACAUGCAAGUCGAACGGCAGCGCGGGCUCCGGCCUGGCGGCGAGUGGCGAACGGGUGAGUAAUGCAUCGGAACGCGCCCAGUAGUGGGGGAUAGCCCGGCGAAAGCCGGAUUAAUACCGCAUACGACCUGAGGGUGAAAGCGGGGGACCGAAAGGCCUCGCGCUAUUGGAGCGGCCGAUGUCGGAUUAGCUAGUUGGUGGGGUAAAGGCUUACCAAGGCGACGAUCCGUAGCUGGUCUGAGAGGACGACCAGCCACACUGGGACUGAGACACGGCCCAGACUCCUACGGGAGGCAGCAGUGGGGAAUUUUGGACAAUGGGGGCAACCCUGAUCCAGCCAUGCCGCGUGCGGGAAGAAGGCCUUCGGGUUGUAAACCGCUUUUGUUCGGGAAGAAAUCCUCUGGGCUAAUACCCCGGGGGGAUGACGGUACCGGAAGAAUAAGCACCGGCUAACUACGUG